rnacentral:rRNA from 1 species
CACAUGCAAGUCGACGGUAGCACAGAGAGCUUGCUCUUGGGUGACGAGUGGCGGACGGGUGAGUAAUGUCUGGGAAACUGCCCGAUGGAGGGGGAUAACUACUGGAAACGGUAGCUAAUACCGCAUAACGUCUUCGGACCAAAGUGGGGGACCUUCGGGCCUCACACCAUCGGAUGUGCCCAGAUGGGAUUAGCUAGUAGGUGGGGUAAUGGCUCACCUAGGCGACGAUCCCUAGCUGGUCUGAGAGGAUGACCAGCCACACUGGAACUGAGACACGGUCCAGACUCCUACGGGAGGCAGCAGUGGGGAAUAUUGCACAAUGGGCGCAAGCCUGAUGCAGCCAUGCCGCGUGUAUGAAGAAGGCCUUCGGGUUGUAAAGUACUUUCAGUGGGGAGGAAGGCGAUGAAGUUAAUAGCUUCGUCGAUUGACGUUACCCGCAGAAGAAGCACCGGCUAACUCCGUGCCAGCAGCCGCGGUAAUACGGAGGGUGCAAGCGUUAAUCGGAAUUACUGGGCGUAAAGCGCACGCAGGCGGUCUGUCAAGUCGGAUGUGAAAUCCCCGGGCUCAACCUGGGAACUGCAUUCGAAACUGGCAGGCUAGAGUCUUGUAGAGGGGGGUAGAAUUCCAGGUGUAGCGGUGAAAUGCGUAGAGAUCUGGAGGAAUACCGGUGGCGAAGGCGGCCCCCUGGACAAAGACUGACGCUCAGGUGCGAAAGCGUGGGGAGCAAACAGGAUUAGAUACCCUGGUAGUCCACGCCGUAAACGAUGUCGACUUGGAGGUUGUGCCCUUGAGGCGUGGCUUCCGGAGCUAACGCGUUAAGUCGACCGCCUGGGGAGUACGGCCGCAAGGUUAAAACUCAAAUGAAUUGACGGGGGCCCGCACAAGCGGUGGAGCAUGUGGUUUAAUUCGAUGCAACGCGAAGAACCUUACCUGGCCUUGACAUCCACGGAAUUCGGCAGAGAUGCCUUAGUGCCUUCGGGAACCGUGAGACAGGUGCUGCAUGGCUGUCGUCAGCUCGUGUUGUGAAAUGUUUGGGUUAAGUCCCGCAACGAGCGCAACCCUUAUCCUUUGUUGCCAGCGAGUAAUGUCGGGAACUCAAAGGAGACUGCCGGUGAUAAACCGGAGGAAAAGGUGGGGGAUGACGUCAAGUCAUCAAGGGCCCUUACGGGCCAGGGCUACCACCUUGCUACAAUGGGCGCAAACAAAAGAAAACGACCUCCGCGAAACAACCGGAACCUCAAAAAUGGCGUCCUAAUUCCGGAAGGAAAUUUGGAACUCCACUCCCUGGAAUCCGAAACCCCUUAGAUCUGAAAUCAAAAAGCUCCGGGGAAAAAUUUCCCGGGCCUUGUAAAACCGCCGGUCAACCAUGGGAAUGGGUUGCCAAAA